rnacentral:lncRNA from 1 species
UAGCAUCAUCUUUUUUCAGCAUAUUUGUUGGCACCAACUUCCCAGCAUUAAAAGGUUCAUCACUAGGUCUUGCAGGAGCAUCAAGAUUUUGAACAUCAGCUUUUCUAGCAGCCUCCUCUCUACCAAAAGCAGGCAUCCAAAUAACAGGAAAUGGAAACUCUUUCUUUAUGUCCUCCUGUUGCUUAUUUUGCACACUUUGGUCCCCCAUGCCUGCUGCAUCAGGCAAGAAUGAUCCAAGGCGACUCAAAUCAGACAGAGGCCAACCACUACAGAGCUUCGGAGCCUGUUGGAGAGAUUUCAAAUUCUCCGUCAAAUUCAAGCCACGGCGUUCCUUCUCCUGCUUUCCAUUUCCAGUUUCAGAAGGCUCUCUCUCUUUUUCACUCCCCACAUGGUCAGGCGGAAUCCACACAAUUGGGGGCUGGUUAUUUCCUAAUUGAAAUGGAACCAAUGACCCCUUCCUUUGACUGUCCGGUUUCUCCUCCUCAAUCUUCACACAAUUCUCUCCCUUCUGGUUCUGCCCACACAAACUAUUAGGACAGCCACAGCAGUGACGAUUCCUCAUCAUGCUCUUAUCAAACUCAUAUCUGGGCUGCUCAACGUUAUAAUGCGUGGGAGGAACAUACCGGACAUAAUACGGUUCGGGGCAAGGUGGGUAGCCACCGUAGCAGUGCAUAUGCUGAUGGGGUGGAACAGGAAGAUGCGAUGGUCUAAAAUUACAACAACCAGGGAGGAAAUUACCACUAUUACAGCAGGAAUAAGAUGGCAUUGGGUACCCACAAUGCCAAUAAUUACGCCCAGAAUCAUGAGGAGGCAUACAUGAUUUAGUUGGAUCCAUCAUCGAGUAAGAAGGGAUAGUUUCCAUGCUCGGAUACUGA